rnacentral:misc_RNA from 1 species
GAAGUGCGAUAAGCAAUGCGAAUUGCAGAACCGUGAGUCAUCAGAUUUUUGAACGCAAUUGGCGCCAGUUGGCUCCCCAACCGGCAUGCUUGCUUCAGUGUCUUGUUUUCUCCUCACCAAAACCUUAAUGUGAGAGAUACCCUUCUCUUACUAAGUACGAAAGCACUCUGAGCUCUGCGAGCGGCUUAUGGUCGCACUCAAUGCAGCAGUCACAUUGUUCACAAUGUGAACUCAUUGAGAGUAGAGUCAGCGCAACUUGUUGCUAGUGCUUAGGCCCUCAAACUCUUCUUGCAUCUGAAGUCAAGCAGGAUAACCCGCUGAACUUAA